GACGAACGCUGGCGGCGUGCUUAACACAUGCAAGUCGAACGGAAAGGCCCUGCUUUUGUGGGGUGCUCGAGUGGCGAACGGGUGAGUAACACGUGAGUAACCUGCCCUUGACUUUGGGAUAACUUCAGGAAACUGGGGCUAAUACCGGAUAGGAGCUCCUGCUGCAUGGUGGGGGUUGGAAAGUUUCGGCGGUUGGGGAUGGACUCGCGGCUUAUCAGCUUGUUGGUGGGGUAGUGGCUUACCAAGGCUUUGACGGGUAGCCGGCCUGAGAGGGUGACCGGCCACAUGGGGACGGGGAUACGGCCCGGACUCCUACGGGAGGAAGCAGUGGGGAAUAUUGCACAAUGGGCGGAAGCCGGAUGCAGCAACGCCGCGUGCGGGAUGACGGCCUUCGGGUGGUAAACCGCUUUCGCCUGUGACGAAGCGUGAGUGACGGUAAUGGGGAAAGAAGCACCGGCUAACUACGU
rnacentral:rRNA from 1 species